GAAAAGCUAGUUUAAGCAAAACAAUCGAUUUCGACUCAAUUAAUUAUGGUUUAACCCCAUAGCUUCUCC
rnacentral:tRNA from 1 species